GACCUGGUAGCUCAGCUGGUAGAGCAGCGGCCUUUUAAGCCGACGGUCGUGGGUUCGAGCCCCACCCGGGUCA
rnacentral:tRNA from 1 species